rnacentral:rRNA from 1 species
AUGGUUCCAUCCCCUGGUAACAGGAGAGCUGCACGAACUGCUGGUCAUGGCCAUUCAUAUGACUCAGGGAACCAAGCUGCUUCAGCUGCCCAACUUGAAGUUCCUACACGACCUGGAAGAACAGACAGACUAACCAUCUGUCUACAGGUAGACGGAAGCAAAGUAAUCGAAGGCAAAGCUCUGCAUAUCAAUGGAGCUGCAAACUCAAACAGAUAUAAUGACGACACAGUAAAAACUCAGCCAGAUUCAGCAUACAUAAGAAUCAUUCUUCUUGCAACAGUUGGAAACAGAAGAUUUCAUGUUCCAUGCUUUUAA